CACGAGGUCACAUUUUUGUAGUUAUGACUAAGUUUAGCUUCCUCAUAACAGAGGGAAAAUCGGAUGUUGGGAAGUUUAUCAAACGCAAACUUUACUUUUAUAAAAAAUUCUAUGUAUUUUGCGUAAUUAGUUGUGGGAACCUUCGUUGUUUUUUCGUUAAAUUUCGUUAAAGUAGCUUUCCAGUUAGACAUUACAUUUAGACGACAUGAACCUAGAUGCUGCUGACCCUUAUAUAUUUCCAACUCACUCGUUACCCUCUGACCACCGUUUCCUGCCACCUCUGACCAAUGGGACACUGGGAUGGAGAGUGUUUGGAAAAAUUAUGCAUAAGGGUGGAGUCUAUAAUGGAGAGGUUGGAGCCUGUCACCGAGCUGAUAUACCAUGUCCUCUUGCAGUCAGAAUGAAGGUCAAGGAGGGGAAACAUAUGUACAGCUUGGACGCUCACGCUGGUAUUUUCACUCACUCAGUACUAACCCCUUAUGUGGAAGCAACUCAGGUGUUCUAUGCUCAUCGACAAUAUCCCAACCUGCUGGUCAUGGAAGUGCAGCUAAAGCGCCAGAAAAGCUCAGAGGAAGCAAUCACAGUCAAGCUUGAAAGUUCUUUCGCCCCUCACAGUCAUGACAUUGCCUUUGAAAAGGCUCCUGACUACAGAGGAGGAAGGCACAUGUUUGGGCACACUAUGUCUGCAGAAGUCCCUGGAGUACUUCGUCCAUGUGUGCACCUCAUCUGGAGCCCUCUAAUCUUAGAUGUAACGUUGCAGCCUGACCAGAGGGAGUCUAGCUGGAACUUCCUGGUUGCAGUUGCAGAGAGCAGUGAGAUUGCCCAAUCAUGCUUUGACACUGGUUUGGAGCUCAUUGAGCAUGGUGACCUGCAGGCUUUCCAUAAAAGAGCAUGGGCAGAGCUAUGGCAUGGCAGCAGUGUGGAGUUAGCUGGGCCAGAACCUUUGAGACAAGCUGUGAUUGGCUGCAUGUUUUACCUUCUCAGUGCACUCCCCUCUCAGACAGAGACACCCACACCAUUUGGGGGUAUCAGUCCUGGAGGAUUGUCUAAUGGGGGACAUGGACAAGAACAGGACUACUGGGGACAUGUUUUCUGGGAUCAGGACACAUGGAUGUAUCCUAACAUGGCACUCUUUCACCCUAAACUGGCCAGAGCUGUCUUGAAGUACAGAUUGCAUACACUAGAAGGUGCCCGGGUCAAUGCCCAGGAGCAGGGCUAUAAGGGUUUGAAGUUCCCAUGGGAGAGUGCUGUAUCUGGUCAAGAGGUGUGUCCAAUGGAGAGUUAUGGAAAGCAGGAGAUCCAUAUUAACGGAGAUGUAGCUCUUGCCUUCCGUCACUACCUCUACCUUACACAGGACAUUGAACUAUUUAAAGAGGGCGGUGCCAGUGAAGUGGUGUGGGGUAUAGCUGAUUAUUGGGUGUCCCGAGUUAUCUGGGACCCCAGUGACCAGCAUUACCACCUCAAAGGAGUGAUGCCUCCUGAUGAGUAUAAUCAAAAUGUUGACAACUCGGUGUACACUAACACUGUGGCCAAGUACAGUCUGCAGUUUGCUGUGGACUUGGCUAGGUUGCUCCAGCAUCCUGUACCCUCAGAAUGGCAGGAAAUAGCUGAUAAACUAAAAAUUCCCUAUGACCCUGGACUAAAGUACCACCCAGAAUUUGAUGGUUAUGAAAAGGGAAGUGAAGUGAAGCAAGCAGAUGCCAUUCUGAUAGGAUUCCCCUUGGGGUUGCCCAUGAGCCCAGAGGUCAGAUGGAAUGAUCUGGAAUGUUAUGAGGCCGUUACUGACCCGCUUGGUCCUGCUAUGACUUGGAGUAUGUUUGCAGUGGGUUGGUUGGAGCUUGGUGAAGCUGAAAAAGCACAACAGCUUCUGCAAAAGUGCUACAAAAAUAUACAGGGCCCCUUCCAGGUGUGGAGUGAGUCAUCUGAUGGUUCUGGAGCUGUUAACUUCCUCACAGGCAUGGGAGGAUUUCUGCAGGCUGUGUUGUUUGGGUACACUGGUUUCAGGGUCCAAAAAGACUGUCUGAGCUUUUCUCCACUAAUACCUAAUGAAGUGUCUAUGCUCAGUCUGAAAGGCAUCAGUUAUCUUGGUAAUAAGAUGGACUGGGUUCUGGAGAGACAGGAAGUCAGCGUUGUCGUGUGGAACCAGGCAAAGGAUUCUGUCACUGAGCAGCCUUGUCCUCUUGAGAUUGUGCUUCAGAGCUCUGGAGACAUUAUCCCUCUUGGUCCAGGUCAACAAAUAUAAUCACUUAUAUCUGAUAAACAAGAAGAAGAACAAGAAUCCUCAAUUCAAACUUAUGGCAAGCAGUGACAUUUCCAUGGCAACCUGGCAAGAUCCAAAAACAAAGCACUACCUCAUACUGCUGGCCUCUUUGAUCCAGAAAAUACAAGCCAAUAUUACUAGCAUUGCCAUGAAAGACUGUUUUGAUAAUCAAUAUUUUUAUGAUAUAAUUGAGCUGUAAGUAUGCAAUUAUUGUGUAUUUGAUACUGUUUGAAAUCAUUGCUUAUUAAGUUCUCUCCUGAGACACUUUUAUCCCACUUUUCCCAAGUUUGUAGUUGACUGUUUUGGUGUUUCACUUACUGCUCCAAACAAUCUCACAAUUUUUGGGAUUAAUCCAUUAAUCAUUCACUGAACAAAUCACACACAUUUGGCUCCAUGUGUUCUGUAGUCAUUUUACUAGAAAUGACAAGCACAAAAAAUAACAUAUAUUUAGUCAGAUAUUGUGUAGUUUAGAAUAAGACGUUGAUUAAAUGUUAUUACACGUAGAUAUUUGAUCUACACUUUUAGAAAUGCUUCAUAUUAUAUUUAGCAUACAUUUCUGUUUCUGUUUCUUCAGUUAAAAUCACUAAAUCUUUAAGGGUUUUAUCACCUUACUACAAUCUUAUAGUAGGUACGUUUACAUGGACACUUGUAAUCCGAUCGUAACAGGACUAGAAGCACAAUCAGAUAAAAAAGUGUCAUGUAAACACGUCACUCGGAUGGAAUUUGCCACAUCCAAUUAAAAUUUCAAUCGGAUGGUAAGGGGUGGUUUAAACCAUUUUUAGUCCGAUCGAGAGGACAUGUAAACACUUAAUCGGAUGGAAUAUGUUCCUGGAAAGUUCUGCGCAUGUGCAAUGACUGCAACACCACUACUGCAAGACACUAGCAUUUGUUUAUACAAUAAGUCUUCAUCUGAUUAAAUAUGAAUUUACAUUGGCUUACUUUACAAAUUCAAAAAUAUAGUCUUUGAAUGAUGUUAGACACAAAUGUUUGUGUCAUGGUGAAAAUAAAACUGUUGUUUCCACUGA